rnacentral:rRNA from 1 species
GAUGAACGCUGGCGGCGUGCCUAAUACAUGCAAGUCGAGCGAACGGACGAGAAGCUUGCUUUUCUGAUGUUAGCGGCGGACGGGUGAGUAACACGUGGAUAACCUACCUAUAAGACUGGGAUAACUUCGGGAAACCGGAGCUAAUAACGGAUAAUAUUUUGAACCGCAUGGUUCAAAAGUGAAAGACGGUCUUGCUGUCACUUAUAGAUGGAUCCGCGCUGCAUUAGCUAGUUGGUAAGGUAACGGCUUACCAAGGCAACGAUGCAUAGCCGACCUGAGAGGGUGAUCGGCCACACUGGAACUGAGACACGGUCCAGACUCCUACGGGAGGCAGCAGUAGGGAAUCUUCCGCAAUGGGCGAAAGCCUGACGGAGCAACGCCGCGUGAGUGAUGAAGGUCUUCGGAUCGUAAAACUCUGUUAUUAGGGAAGAACAUAUGUGUAAGUAACUGUGCACAUCUUGACGGUACCUAAUCAGAAAGCCACGGCUAACUACGUG